rnacentral:rRNA from 1 species
UUGCAGUUAAAAAGCUCGUAGUCGGAUUUCAGUAUUAGGCCCUUCUUCCAAUACGGUUGCUAGCGGUCUUUACUUCCUUAACAGAAUCUUUCAUCUCAUUAAUUUGGGGUGUUUGGGGCCUGUUUCUUUUACUUUGAGAAAAUUAGAGUGUUCAAAGCGGGUUUUCGCCUGGAUAUUACUCUUGGAAUAAUAAUAUAGGACUUUGGUUCUUUUUUGUUGGUGACUUAGAACCGAAGUAAUGAUUGAUAGGGACAGUUGGGGUCAUUCGUACUAUGAAGCGAGAGGUGAAAUUCAUGGACCUUUGUAUGACGAACUACUGCGAAAGCAUUUGACUAGGAUGUUCCCGUUGAUCAAGAACGAAAGUUGGGGGAUCGAAGACGAUCAGAUACCGUCGUAGUCUCAACCAUAAACUAUGCCAGCUAGGGAUUGGAGGAAGAUCAUUUUACGUCUCCUUCAGCACCUUAUGAGAAAUCAAAGCAUUUGGGUUCCGGGGGGAGUAUGGUCGCAAGGCUGAAACUUAAAGGAAUUGACGGGAGGGCACCACCAGGAGUGGAGCCUGCGGCUUAAUUUGAUUCAACACGGGAAAACCUACCAGGUCCGGACAUGGGAAGGAUUGACAGAUUGAA